UACGAAGGGGGCUAGCGUUGCUCGGAAUCACUGGGCGUAAAGCGCACGUAGGCGGAUUGUUAAGUCGGGGGUGAAAUCCUGGAGCUCAACUCCAGAACUGCCUUCGAUACUGGCGAUCUUGAGUCCGGGAGAGGUGAGUGGAACUCCGAGUGUAGAGGUGAAAUUCGUAGAUAUCGGGAGGAACACCGGUGGCGAAGGCGGCGACCUGGGUCGAGACUGACGCUGAGGCGCGAAAGCGUGGGGAGCAAACAGG
rnacentral:rRNA from 1 species